rnacentral:rRNA from 1 species
AUACGUAGGGGGCGAGCGUUGUCCGGAAUGAUUGGGCGUAAAGGGCGCGUAGGCGGCCCGGUAAGUCUGGAGUGAAAGUCCUGUUUUUAAGAUGGGAAUUGCUUUGGAUACUGUCGGGCUUGAGUGCAGGAGAGGUAAGUGGAAUUCCCAGUGUAGCGGUGAAAUGCGUAGAGAUUGGGAGGAACACCAGUGGCGAAGGCGACUUACUGGACUGUAACUGACGCUGAGGCGCGAAAGUGUGGGGAGCAAACAGGAUUAGAUACCCUGGUAGUCCACGCUGUAAACGAUGAAUACUAGGUGUGGGGGGACUGACCCCCUCCGUGCCGCAGUUAACACAAUAAGUAUUCCACCUGGGGAGUACGAUCGCAAGAUUGAAACUCAAAUGAAUUGACGGGG